rnacentral:lncRNA from 1 species
AUAUAUAUAUAUAUAUAUAUAUAUAUAUAUUUAUACAUGUGUGUCGAUAUAUAUGGAUAUGUUUGUUCAUAAGACCCAAAAAAUGGUGAAGCUGAUUAUAAAAAUUGAUUUGACAUUAUUUGAUCGAUAUUGUGACAUGACAUAAUCUCAUAUGGUUUUGUGUGUGUAUAUGUGCCUUUUGUUUUUUCUACUUAUCGUUGGUUUUAAUUUUCUUUUUGUUUUUCAUAAGAUCUCCAUUAGUUUUUCUUUUAUUAUUUGCAUUUGCAUUAUUCGGUUCGUUUUUUUUUUUCUGUUUUUUUGUCUAUAGCCUUGUUAUUUACCUUUUCCUUUUUGUUAGUAGGUUGUUUUACAGCUUUGUUGUUAUUUUCUUUUGUUUGCGUAACAGUUUUAUUAAUCUUCAUUUUAUCGUUUUUUUUUUCAUUUACUUUUUCAUUUACUUUUUCAUUUACUUUUUCAUUUACUUUUUCAUUUACUUUUUCAUUUAUUUUUUUUUCAUUUAUUUUAUCAUUUUUUUUUUUAUCUACUUUUUCGUUUAUUUUUUUAUUUACUUUAUCAUUUUUUGGUUUUAUUGUUUUAUCAACUUUUUUAUCAUUUUUUUUGUUAAUUUGUUUCUCAUUUUUUUUAUUAACCUGUUUUUCAGUUUGUUUUUCAAUUUGUUUUCCAUUUACUUUUUCAUCUUUACUAUCAUUUUUUUUUUAUUUGUUUUGUUAGUAGCAUUGUCAGUGGCAUUUUUGCUGUUUGCAUUUUUAUUGUUUGUAUUUUCAUUUUUUUUCUUCAUUUUUUUACCAGUUUGUUC